rnacentral:rRNA from 1 species
AUACGUAGGGGGCGAGCGUUAUCCGGAAUUAUUGGGCGUAAAGAGUACGUAGGUGGUUUCCUAAGCGAGGGGUUUAAGGCACUGGCUUAACCAAUGUUCGCCCCCCGAACUGGGGAACUUGAGUGCUGGAGAGGAAAGCGGAAUUCCUAGUGUAGCGGUGAAAUGCGUAGAUAUUAGGAGGAACACCAGUGGCGAAGGCGGCUUUCUGGACAGUAACUGACACUGAGGUACGAAAGUGUGGGGAGCAAACAGGAUUAGAUACCCUGGUAGUCCACACCGUAAACGAUGAGCACUAGGUGUCGGGCUCGCAAGAGUUCGGUGCCGCAGUUAACGCAUUAAGCGCCCCGCCUGGGGAGUACGUACGCAAGUAUGAAACUCAAAGGAAUUGACGGGG